rnacentral:rRNA from 1 species
AUUGAACGCUGGCGGCAUGCCUUACACAUGCAAGUCGAACGGUAACAGGUCUUCGGAUGCUGACGAGUGGCGAACGGGUGAGUAAUACAUCGGAACGUGCCUAGUAGCGGGGGAUAACCACUCGAAAGAGUGGCUAAUACCGCAUGAGUUCUACGGAUGAAAGCAGGGGAUUGCAAGACCUUGUGCUACUAGAGCGGCCGAUGGCAGAUUAGGUAGUUGGUGGGAUAAAAGCUUACCAAGCCGACGAUCUGUAGCUGGUCUGAGAGGACGAUCAGCCACACUGGGACUGAGACACGGCCCAGACUCCUACGGGAGGCAGCAGUGGGGAAUUUUGGACAAUGGGCGCAAGCCUGAUCCAGCAAUGCCGCGUGCAGGACGAAGGCCUUCGGGUUGUAAACUGCUCUUGUACGGAACGAAAAGCCCUGGGUUAAUACCCUGGGGUCAUGACGGUACCGUAAGAAUAAGCACCGGCUAACUACGUGCCAGCCGCCGCGGUAAAAC